AUUGAACGCUGGCGGCGUGCUUAACACAUGCAAGUCGAGCGGUAACAGGCGUAGCAAUACGUGCUGACGAGCGGCGAACGGGUGCGUAAUACAUGGGAAUCUGCCCUUUGGUGGGGAAUAACCCGGCGAAAGCCGGGCUAAUGCCGCAUAAGAUCUUCGGAUGAAAGCGGGGGAUCGUAAGACCUCGCGCCGAUGGAUGAGCCCAUGUCGGAUUAGCUAGUUGGUGAGGUAACGGCUCACCAAGGCGACGAUCCGUAGCUGGUCUGAGAGGACGGCCAGCCACACUGGGACUGAGACACGGCCCAGACUCCUACGGGAGGCAGCAGUGGGGAAUAUUGGACAAUGGGCGAAAGCCUGAUCCAGCGACGCCGCGUGUGUGAAGAAGGCCUGCGGGUUGUAAAGCACUUUCGAUGGGAACGAAAUGUGUCGGGCUAAUACCCCGGCAAGCUGACGUUACUCAAUGAAGAAGCACCGGCUAACUCUGUGCCAGCCGCCGCGGUAACAC
rnacentral:rRNA from 1 species